rnacentral:rRNA from 1 species
CACGUAGGCACCAAGCGUUGUCCGGAUUUAUUGGGCGUAAAGAGCUCGUAGGCGGUUCAGUAAGUCGGGUGUGAAAACUUUGGGCUUAACCCAAAGCGUGCAUCCGAUACUGCUGUGACUUGAGUGUGGCAGAGGGGUGGAAUUCCGACGUGUAGCAGUGAAAUGCGUAGAUAUGCGGAGGAACACCGAUGGCGAAGGCAAUCCCUGGACCUGUACUGACGCUCAUGCACGAA